rnacentral:rRNA from 1 species
UACGUAGGGAGCAAGCGUUGUCCGGAAUCAUUGGGCGUAAAGCGCGCGUAGGUGGCCAUGUAAGUCCGACUGUGAAAGUCAAAGGCUCAACCUUUGAAAGCCGGUGGAUACUGCACGGCUAGAGUACGGAAGAGGCGAGUGGAAUUCCUGGUGUAGCGGUGAAAUGCGCAGAUAUCAGGAGGAACACCAAUUGCGAAGGCAGCUCCGCUGGGACGU